rnacentral:misc_RNA from 1 species
GAUGAAGAACGUAGCGAAAUGCGAUAAGUAAUGCGAAUUGCAGAAUUCAGUGAAUCAUCGAAUCUUUGAACGCACAUUGCGCCCGCCAGUAUUCUGGCGGGCAUGCCUGUCUGAGCGUCAUUUCAACCCUCAUGCCCCUAGGGCGUGGUGUUGGGGAUCGGCCAAAGCCCGCGAGGGACGGCCGGUCCCUAAAUCUAGUGGCGGACCCGUCGUGGCCUCCUCUGCGAAGUAGUGAUAUUCCGCAUCGGAGAGCGAUGAGCCCCUGCCGUUAAACCCCCAACUUUCCAAGGUUGACCUCAGAUCAGGUAGGAAUACCCGCUGAACUUAAGCAUAUCAAUAAGCGGAGGA